GAUGAACGCUGGCGGCGUGCCUAAUACAUGCAAGUCGAGCGGACGGACGAGAAGCUUGCUUCUCUGAUGUUAGCGGCGGACGGGUGAGUAACACGUGGAUAACCUACCUAUAAGACUGGGAUAACUUCGGGAAACCGGAGCUAAUACCGGAGGAUAUUUUGAACCGCAUGGUUCAAAAGUGAAAGACGGUCUUGCUGUCACUUAUAGAUGGAUCCGCGCUGCAUUAGCUAGUUGGUAAGGUAACGGCUUACCAAGGCAACGAUGCAUAGCCGAACUGAGUGGGGGAUCGGCCACACUGGAGCGUAGACACGGUCCAGACUCCUACGGGAGGCAGCAGUAGGGAAUCUUCCGCAAUGGUCGAAAGCCUGACGGAGCAACGCCGCGUGAGUUAUGAAGGUCUUCGGAUCGUAAAACUCUGUUAUUAGGGAAGAACAUAUGUGUAAGUAACUGUGCACAUCUUGACGGUACCUAAUCAGAAAGCAACGGCUAACUACGUG
rnacentral:rRNA from 1 species